UAAUUUUAUAUUGUAACGCAUUCUACACUAAUGUUCUAACAGUUCUUUAGUUCAAUUCUUUUCAACAUUUCACAAAUAGUUCAAUGAUUAAAGAACUUUACUUAAUGACCCCUUCCGAAUUAUGCCGUGACCGUUGUUGUGGGUAGCAACGCUCAAGUUAAGAAGAUCUGAUAUAAAGCAUCUAAGUAAUCUAUUUUGAAUGUAAAUCCCACUUUUGUGGAGAAGUAAAGGCGGCAUCUUGGAAACUUAUAAAUGCAGUUAAUAAGAGUUUCAUUUCCUGAACGAAAUCUUUGGAACUAUCUCUGAACAGUUCUAAUGUCAACAGAAUCGUUACUAAAAGCUCACUUGAUAUUUCAUAGAGCUUCGGUGGCCGAGUGACCCAACUUGUAUUCGUAGAAGAAAAUCACUGGGUAUUGUUCGGUUGUCAACAUAGUCAUAAGAGCUGCCUGAAAUUUUGUGAGAGGUGACCAUCGAUUACAUCGACC
rnacentral:lncRNA from 1 species